CGACCACAACGGGUGGAGCCUGCGGUUAAUUGGACUCAACGCCGGGCAGCUCACCGGAUAAGACAGCUGGAUGAUAGCCGGGCUGAAGACUCUGCUUGACUAGCUGAGAGGAGGUGCAUGGCCGUCGUCAGUUCGUACUGUGAAGCAUCCUGUUAAGUCAGGCAACGAGCGAGACCCACGCCAACAGUUGCCAGCAUGUCCUCCGGGAUGAUGGGGACACUGUUGGGACCGCCUCUGCUAAAGAGGAGGAAGGAAUGGGCAGCGGUAGGUCAGCAUGCCCCGAAUUAUCCGGGCUACACGCGGGCUACAAUGGUCAGGACAAUGGGUAUCGACACCGAGAGGUGGAGGCAAUCUCCUAAACCUGUCCUUAGUUCGGAUUGUGGGCUGCAACUCGCCCACAUGAAGCUGGAAUCCGUAGUAAUCGCGUUUCAAAAUAGCGCGGUGAAUAUGUCCCUGCUCCUU
rnacentral:rRNA from 1 species